rnacentral:rRNA from 1 species
GAUAACCGGCGGAAACGGCGACUAAUACCCCAUAUGCUGCGAUGCUGCAUGGCAUUGCAAUGAAAGAUUCAUCGGUGGCGGAUAGGCUCGCGGGACAUUAGCUAGACGGCGGGGCAACGGCCCACCGUGGCGACGAUGUCUAGGGGUUCUGAGAGGAAGACCCCCCACACUGGGACUGAGACACGGCCCAGACUCCUACGGGAGGCAGCAGUGAGGAAUAUUGGUCAAUGGGCGGAAGCCUGAACCAGCCAUGCCGCGUGAAGGACUAAGGCCCUACGGGUCGUAAACUUCUUUAGACGCAGAGCAAUAAGGUCCACGAGUGGACCGAUGAGAGUAUGCGUAGAAUAAGCAUCGGCUAACUCCGUGCCAGCAGCCGCGGUAAUACGGGGGAUGCGAGCGUUAUCCGGAUUCAUUGGGUUUAAAGGGUGCGUAGGCGGCCGAGUAAGUCAGCGGUGAAAGACCGGGGCUCAACCCUGGAAGUGCCGUUGAUACUGUUUGGCUGGAAUGAUCCCGCCGCGGGAGGAAUGAGUGGUGUAGCGGUGAAAUGCAUAGAUAUCACUCAGAACACCGAUUGCGAAGGCAUCUCGCGAGGGGUCAAUUGACGCUGAGGCACGAAAGCGUGGGGAUCGAACAGGAUUAGAUACCCUGGUAGUCCACGCGGUAAAC